rnacentral:lncRNA from 1 species
UCUCUCUCUCUCUCUCUCUCUCUCUCUCUCUCUAUAUAUAUAUAUAUAUUCAAUUCCCCGAAACUUUAUUUAUUAUAUAUUUAUUAUUAUAUAUACAAAAAUUGUUAUAAAGUUUUAAUUAUACAAGUACUACUUAAAAUUUGCAGUUUAUGGUGUGAGGGGGUUUGUUUGUGUUGAAUAAAAAAAUCUUAAAAAUUGUCUUAAUUUUCGAAGAAUGUGUUGGUUAUUUAUUAUUAAGCUAAAAUAUGUCCAACUUUCUUAGUCUAGGAGACUAAUAAGUUGAGAGGGGGUGUGGUCUAUGAGAGACUUAAUGGCAAGAAGUCUAACAAUAGACCCAACGUACGAAUGGGUUGAGUCAGAUUGAGACCCGCUAGCACUGUGAUUGAGCCCUUAAGUGUGAUGGGCACGUUCUUGCCAUCAGCACAUGUCUUUGGAAAGUUGGUCUCAAGCUACUAGAAAUACGUAACAAAUUCAUUUAAAGCGUAUAAAUACAGCGUCCACGAGUCUCAAUUGUAACUCGGCCUACCCAGUCUUUUGUCGCUUCAAAUAUAACUCGGCCCAACCCGACCUCACGCUAUUUCGAACGUAACUCAGCCUAUUUGGCCUCCCGCAAUAAGGGAGAAUGCUUGCCAUUUAAGCCAACAAUUUCCUUCCAGCCUUAUGCCGCUUCAAACAUAACUUGGCCCAACAUGACCUCACGCUAUAUUGAACAUAACUCAGCCUACUUGGCCUCUCGCCACAAGGCAAGAUACUUGCCCAUUUAAGCCAACAAUCUCCUUUCCAAUACCUACACACAUUCAUGGCAUGGAGGAAUCGAACCCGUGACCUCUGACUCCGAUACCACUUGUCGGAUUAUUGACGCUAACCAUUAAUCCUAAAAGUUCGAGCUAUUAAAAAUACGCAACUAAUUCACUUAAAAUGUACAGAUACAGCGCUCACGGGUCUUGAUUGUGACUCGAUUUAUCCAGCCUUGUGCCACUUCGAAUAUGAUUCGGCCCAACCCCACACCAUUUUGAACGUGACUCGGCACACUUUGCCUCCCGAUA